AUAUACAGAGAGAGGGGACUGUUAACUGCAGAGGGGAAAACCAUCAAAAACAAAGAAGAAAUAUUGGCUCUUUUAAAGGCACUCUGGCUGCCUAAACGACUAGCCAUCAUACAUUGCCCAGGCCACCAAAAACCGGUCACACCAGUGGCCAGAGGAAAUAAUUUGGCUGACCAGGUGGCCCGAGAGGUGGCCUUACAGGUGGACUGUGCUUUAAUGACCACCCUACCAGACCCCGGUUCAGCUAGUUUACCAGAAAGUCCCACCUACACUAAAGAAGACCUAAACUGGAUCCAAAAAUUGCCUAUGACUCAGUGCCUUAACGGAUGGUGGAGAGCAGCAGACUGUAGCAUAAUCCUCCCAGAAGAAAUGGGAAAUAAAGUCUUAUCCAAGAUGCACCGAGCCACUCAUAUGGGCACAAGAAAAAUGCAAGACUUAGUAAGACAUGCUAGGAUCACCAUUAAAGAAUCUAGGACAAAAACUGAACAGAUAGUUACUAGCUGUAAAGCUUGCCAACUAACUAACGCCACCAACCACGGGAAAAACCCUGGCUCCAGAACCCGCGGAACCAGGCCAGGAGCCUAUUGGGAAAUAGACUUCACCGAGGUAAAGCCUGGAAAAUAUGGAUACAAAUAUUUGUUAGUGUUUAUAGAUACCUUUUCAGGAUGGACAGAGGCCUUCCCCACCAAGCAUGAGACUGCGCAGGUAGUAGCAAAGAAAAUGUUGGAAGACAUCAUGCCCAGGUACGGAUUCCCUACCCUAAUAGGAUCAGACAACGGACCAGCAUUCGUUUCAAAGGGAACUCCAGCACACCCACCAGGAAGUUUGGCCCAGAUUGAGAGCCAUUUAUGACAACGGGCCCCCUCCUGAGCCGCACCACUACCGACCCGGAGACUGGGUACACGUGCGGAGACACAAGC